rnacentral:SRP_RNA from 1 species
AUCCCCUCUAUUUUAUUGAUUAGAUACAGAACUCGUAAACCGCUUUCACCAUUUCAAACCGAAGCACGCA